rnacentral:tRNA from 1 species
AGCCUCCGUGGCAACCCGGGAGCGGUUCGGCUGUUAACCGAAAGGUUGGUGGUUCGAGCCCACCCGGGGCGA